rnacentral:rRNA from 1 species
UGGGGAAUAUUGCACAAUGGAGGGAACUCUGAUGCAGCGACGCCGCGUGAGUGAUGAAGGACUUCGUUUCGUAAAACUCUGUUCUAUGGGAAGAAAAGGACUGUACCAUAGGAGAAAGCUCCGGCUAAAUACGUGCCAGCAGCCGCGGUAAUACGCAUGGAGCGAGCGUUGUCCGGAAUUAUUGGGCGUAAAGGGUGCGCAGGCGGCUUUACAAGUUGGAUGUGAAAUAUUGUGGCUCAACCACAAACGUGCAUCCAAAACUGCAAAGCUUGAGUUAAGGAGAGGUAAGUGGAAUUCCUGGUGUAGCGGUGGAAUGCGUAGAUAUCAGGAGGAAUACCGGUGGCGAAGGCGACUUACUGGACUUAAACUGACGCUCAGGAACGAAAGCGUGGGGAGCAAACAGG